CGGCUGCCCGGCGCCUUCACCGCGUGCGCUCAUCCUGCCUCCCGCCGCCGCUCCCGCUGCCGCCGCCGCUCCUACCGCCGCUGCAGCCGCUUCGCCUCUGCCGCCCCGAAUCUGCCCAGCACCUUUCGGGAGACUGUGAGUGCCUCCCAUGACCAAACUCAACAAGAAGCCAACAAGCAAGGGAACUUGGAUGAUGUAAGCCACCAACAUGGGCCUGCAGCACUGCUGUCACCCUCCUGGACUUGAGUGGAC